CACUCCGGGGGAAAGCCAGGCCAGCAGCAGUCCUCCGGGGAGAUCGUGUGAGGAACUGAGGCCUCCCACCAACAGCCACCUUGGAAGUGAAUCCUCCAGCCCCGGUCAAGCCUUCAGAUAAGAGCUGCCCAGCCCAGCAUCCUGACGGACGCCUCACGAGAGAGACUAAACCAAAACCGCUCAGCUGAGCCUUUCUGAAUUCCUGACCCUCAGCUGUGAGAGUGUGCACCUGACCGAGGACGUGGAGACAGCGGCUACGUGAGAUGCUGUCCAUCAGAUACCACGUUACAGAUGUCUGUAAGAUGAGAAGAUGGAUGUUAGCUGAGCCUCGUGCAAUGAUCAUUUCACAUUAUAUGAAAAUCAAGCCAUCAUUCUGCCUGCCUUCGACUUCCACAGUGAUGUAUGUCAAUUAUAACUCAAUGAAACUGGGAAGAAAAAGGUUAUGGUCAAAUGAGUUCCAGGAAUAAAACUUAAUUCUAAGAAGAUUAUUCAGAUUCAUCACAUCUUUUCUAAUCAUUGGAUUAAACAACAACAACAAAAGUAUCUCAUUUUGAUUUAAUCAGAUCUGGGAAUAAAAUUCACAACUGUCAUGCUGUUCUAGGGAUUGCAAAUCUUUAA